CCAGGCUGGGGCAUGUGUGUCAGGAACCCCUUUGUCUUUCUCUUACUGCAGGAGACCAGCGCAGCGGUGGGGUCACUGAGGCCAGCAGCCUCCUGGGGGGCUCCCCGAGGCGUCCCUGUGGCCGGAAGGGCUCCCCAUACCACACGGGGCAGCUGCACCCCGCGGUGCGUGUGGCGGACCUUCUGCAGCACAUCAACCAGAUGAAGACAGCUGAGGGCUACGGCUUCAAGCAGGAGUAUGAGAGCUUCUUUGAAGGCUGGGAUGCCACAAAGAAGAAAGACAAGCUCAAGGGCAGCCGCCAGGAGCCAAUGCCUGCCUAUGAUAGGCACCGAGUGAAACUGCACCCGAUGCUGGGAGACCCCAACGCCGACUACAUUAAUGCCAA
rnacentral:lncRNA from 1 species